UACGGAGGGUGCGAGCGUUGUCCGGAAUCACUGGGCGUAAGGGGCGCGUAGGCGGCUCAUGAAGGCUGUGGUGAAAGUCCGGGGCUCAACCUCGGAUCGGCCGUGGCGACUCGUGGGCUGGAGCACUGUAGAGGCGGGUGGAAUUCCGGGUGUAGCGGUGGAAUGCGUAGAGAUCCGGAAGAACACCAGUGGCGAAGGCGGCCCGCUGGGCAGUGGCUGACGCUGAGGCACGAAAGCGUGGGGAGCAAACAGG
rnacentral:rRNA from 1 species